UGGCUCAGUUGGUAGAGCAUGGCGUUUCCAACGCCAGCAUGGUGUGUGCAAUGCCAGGGUUGUGGGUUCGAUUCCUAC
rfam:Salmo salar isolate Sally breed double haploid chromosome ssa17, whole genome shotgun sequence.